ensembl:lncRNA
AUGGGCUGGCACACUAGUCCAACAAAAGGGUCCUCAACUGCCCUCCACCCUGGCCACUCUUACAAGUCACUUCCAUGGCACACUAGUCCAACAAAAGGGUCCUCAACUGCCCUCCACCCUGGCCACUCUUACAAGUCACUUCCAUGGCACACUAGUCCAACAAAAGGGUCUUCAACUGCCCUCCACCCUGGCCACUCUUACAAGUCACUUCCAUGGCACACUAGUCCAACAAAAGGGUCUUCAACUGCCCUCCACCCUGGCCACUCUUACAAGUCACUUCCAUGGCACACUAGUCCAACAAAAGGGUCCUCAACUGCCCUCCACCCUGGCCACUCUUACAAGUCACUUCCAUGGCACACUAGUCCAACAAAAGGGUCCUCAACUGCCCUCCACCCUGGCCACUCUUACAAGUCACUUCCAUGGCACACUAGUCCAACAAAAGGGUCCUCAACUGCCCUCCACCCUGGCCACUCUUACAAGUCACUUCCAUGGCACACUAGUCCAACAAAAGGGUCCUCAACUGCCCUCCACCCUGGCCACUCUUACAAGUCACUUCCAUGGCACACUAGUCCAACAAAAGGGUCCUCAACUGCCCUCCACCCUGGCCACUCUUACAAGUCACUUCCAUGGCACACUAGUCCAACAAAAGGGUCCUCAACUGCCCUCCACCCUGGCCACUCUUACAAGUCACUUCCAUGGCACACUAGUCCAACAAAAGGGUCCUCAACUGCCCUCCACCCUGGCCACUCUUACAAGUCACUUCCAUGGCACACUAGUCCAACAAAAGGGUCUUCAACUGCCCUCCACCCUGGCCACUCUUACAAGUCACUUCCAUGGCACACUAGUCCAACAAAAGGGUCCUCAACUGCCCUCCACCCUGGCCACUCUUACAAGUCACUUCCAUGGCACACUAGUCCAACAAAAGGGUCCUCAACUGCCCUCCACCCUGGCCACUCUUACAAGUCACUUCCAUGGCACACUAGUCCAACAAAAGGGUCCUCAACUGCCCUCCACCCUGGCCACUCUUACAAGUCACUUCCAUGGCACACUAGUCCAACAAAAGGGUCUUCAACUGCCCUCCACCCUGGCCACUCUUACAAGUCACUUCCAUGGCACACUAGUCCAACAAAAGGGUCUUCAACUGCCCUCCACCCUGGCCACUCUUACAAGUCACUUCCAUGGCACACUAGUCCAACAAAAGGGUCCUCAACUGCCCUCCACCCUGGCCACUCUUACAAGUCACUUCCAUGGCACACUAGUCCAACAAAAGGGUCCUCAACUGCCCUCCACCCUGGCCACUCUUACAAGUCACUUCCAUGGCACACUAGUCCAACAAAAGGGUCCUCAACUGCCCUCCACCCUGGCCACUCUUACAAGUCACUUCCAUGGCACACUAGUCCAACAAAAGGGUCCUCAACUGCCCUCCACCCUGGCCACUCUUACAAGUCACUUCCAUGGCACACUAGUCCAACAAAAGGGUCCUCAACUGCCCUCCACCCUGGCCACUCUUACAAGUCACUUCCAUGGCACACUAGUCCAACAAAAGGGUCCUCAACUGCCCUCCACCCUGGCCACUCUUACAAGUCACUUCCAUGGCACACUAGUCCAACAAAAGGGUCCUCAACUGCCCUCCACCCUGGCCACUCUUACAAGUCACUUCCAUGGCACACUAGUCCAACAAAAGGGUCCUCAACUGCCCUCCACCCUGGCCACUCUUACAAGUCACUUCCAUGGCACACUAGUCCAACAAAAGGGUCCUCAACUGCCCUCCACCCUGGCCACUCUUACAAGUCACUUCCAUGGCACACUAGUCCAACAAAAGGGUCCUCAACUGCCCUCCACCCUGGCCACUCUUACAAGUCACUUCCAUGGCACACUAGUCCAACAAAAGGGUCCUCAACUGCCCUCCACCCUGGCCACUCUUACAAGUCACUUCCAUGGCACACUAGUCCAACAAAAGGGUCCUCAACUGCCCUCCACCCUGGCCACUCUUACAAGUCACUUCCAUGGCACACUAGUCCAACAAAAGGGUCCUCAACUGCCCUCCACCCUGGCCACUCUUACAAGUCACUUCCAUGGCACACUAGUCCAACAAAAGGGUCCUCAACUGCCCUCCACCCUGGCCACUCUUACAAGUCACUUCCAUGGCACACUAGUCCAACAAAAGGGUCCUCAACUGCCCUCCACCCUGGCCACUCUUACAAGUCACUUCCAUGGCACACUAGUCCAACAAAAGGGUCCUCAACUGCCCUCCACCCUGGCCACUCUUACAAGUCACUUCCAUGGCACACUAGUCCAACAAAAGGGUCCUCAACUGCCCUCCACCCUGGCCACUCUUACAAGUCACUUCCAUGGCACACUAGUCCAACAAAAGGGUCCUCAACUGCCCUCCACCCUGGCCACUCUUACAAGUCACUUCCAUGGCACACUAGUCCAACAAAAGGGUCCUCAACUGCCCUCCACCCUGGCCACUCUUACAAGUCACUUCUAUGGCACACUAGUCCAACAAAAGGGUCCUCAACUGCCCUCCACCCUGGCCACUCUUACAAGUCACUUCUAUGGCACACUAGUCCAACAAAAGGGUCCUCAACUGCCCUCCACCCUGGCCACUCUUACAAGUCACUUCUAUGGCACACUAGUCCAACAUAA